rnacentral:rRNA from 1 species
AUUGAACGCUGUCGGCAGGCCUAACACAUGCAAGUCGAGCGAGCGGCGGAAGGGUGAGUAAUGUAUGGGGACUGCCCGAUAGAGGGGGAUAACUACUGGAAACGGUAGCUAAUACCGCAUACUAUAGGCUAACCCAUCUGGGAUUAGCUAGGAGGUGAGGGAAUGGCUCACCUAGGCGACGAUCCCUAGCUGGUCUGAGAUGCGGAUCAGCCACACUGGGACUGAGACACGGCCCAGACUCCUACGGAGGCAGCAGUGGGGAAUAUUGCACAAUGGGCGCAAGCCUGAUGCAGCCAUGCCGCGUGUAUGAAGAAGGCCCUAGGGUUGUAAAGUACUUUCAGUCGGGAGGCGUUACCGACAGAAGAAGCACCGGCUAACUCCGUGCCAGCAGCCGCGGUAAUAC